rnacentral:rRNA from 1 species
UACGUAGGGCGCAAGCGUUGUCCGGAAUUAUUGGGCGUAAAGAGCUCGUAGGCGGUUUGUCGCGUCUGCUGUGAAAUCCCGAGGCUCAACCUCGGGCUUGCAGUGGGUACGGGCUGGCUGGAGGCAGGCAGGGGAGAACGGAAUUCCUGGUGUAGCGGUGAAAUGCGCAGAUAUCAGGAGGAACACCGGUGGCGAAGGCGGUUCUCUGGGCCCGUACUGACGCUGAGGAGCGAAAGCGUGGGGAGCGAACAGG